CCAAAUAACUAAAUAAAUUAAUAUUAAUUUAAAAAUAUAUAUCUCAUUAAAUCUUAACAAAUUAAAGGAAGCACCAAUAAAAAAUAUUGAUGUCACAAUAACUAAACUAAUAUUGUUUUAACUAAAUAGCUAAUAUCAUUAUAUAAUUAAUCUAAACGAAUGAUAGUUUUCAAACGAUUUUUGCAACUUUUCAUCAUUAUGAAAUCUUCCACCAGCUGAAUUAUCGAACAUCAAACUAUAUGACCUGAAAUAAUAAAAUAAUUAUAUCAGAAGAUAAAAUACAAUGUGGAAAAACAUCUUCAAAAUUCCAUCACUGUCACGAUUCAUAAACAGAAAGAACAUUGCAAUUAAUAGAACAACCAUUAAGCAGAAUAACCAUAAACUGCAAAAAAUUUCAGCUAAAAACAAUCAACAAAAACUGCAGAAACAUACAAAGUUUACUUGCUCUAAUGCUAGCUGCUGUCAAUAAAUUUGAAACAGUCAACAAAAACAACAGCUAGGAAAUCACACGCACACAUCACCAUAAUGUACUAAUAGAACACAAUAAGCUAUUGUAAUGUCAAAGUCGGAAGCUACUGUUCCAUUGAAUGUUACAAUUGAUCGAGCUGUUGGUGGGGGUUCAACUUAUGCCAAUGGGAUUGUUGAUGUGCAGAAUGGUGAGGAGGUUGUUCGAGUUACAUCAGUGGUUGAUGGAAAAGGGGAAAACAUACAAAUGCAGAAAUUUGCCCAGAUGAUGUUAAGCAGUAUGACUAUUUAAUGAGGCAGCAACAGGAUGGAUCAGGAAGGAGGAGGAACACGAGUUUCAUCAAGCUGUUCUAUUUGGGAGGGGAAUUUGAUGCAUAUCACUUUGGAGUAUAGAGAAAAUAAAGAGAAGAUGGGAAGACUGGGAUGUCAGGUGCAAGCAUAGGGAAAAACCAGCAGGUUUGUCACUUCAAUUCUUUGGAAUACAGUUAAGUGAAGCAAUGGAUUAUGGUGAGCAAAAUACUGUUGAGUAGUUUCAAGGUGACUUAAGACAGAUUUUGAAUGAAAAAAAAGAGGUUUGGCUAAUGCUGAUAGAAGAGCUGAUCAAGAUCAACAAAGUAACACCAGCAGGUGAACUGGGGUACUUGGUCGACCUACUGCUGCUGCUGCUGAACUGUUGGAAAAACCAGCAGGUUUUUGUGUCUCAGCUGGGAAUGCUGAGGGUCAAGAACUCGAAGGUAGUGAUGCUAUGGAUGAUGCAGCUGCUACAGGGGUUAGGACAGUGCAUGAACAAGAUAAGCACUGUCAAAAUAGUGCAAUGGUUCAGCCUAAUGCUGGAUUUAAUAUAGGACACAAUCAGGUAACUGAUUCUGCCUUUCUUUCUUACAGAUCAGGAAUGGAGUAUGAUUCUAGAAAGCAAUUCCUUCUCCAAAAAAAAAAGGGAAAAGAAAAACAAUUGAUUUGAUGCAGUUAUGUAUAGUUUUCUUAGAUCUUCAAUUACUAUCUCUACUUGAAAUCUUUCAGUUCUGGCCUUCAAAUAGCAUUAAGGAAAGGUAGUACUUGUAUAUAUGUAUCACAAAGAUCUGCAAGACAAUUUCAGAAAACCCUUUCAAAACUGCAUAAAACCUAUACAUUUCCUUCUGUUCACAAAUGUUUUUGUUCAUCUUUCCUCUCAAGUAUGGCUUCUUUUUUUUUCAUAAAAUAAUGUUGACCAAUAAAAAUUGUGUCAAACAAUUUUUUGAUAAGGAAAAAAAAAAUUUAUGUCAAACAUCCAUAACACUAGUAAUGUCAUGGGAUAUCUCCAUUUUUAUUAGCAGAAGCUUAAGAUAUCCACACUAAUAACCACAAAAAACUUGUCUACCCCCCCAGAAAAGGAUAUGUCCAUUAACAGAGACAUUUUUAUAUCAAACUCAUUUGCAUAUACAAAUUUAGUAAUGCGCAUUAAUAAUAAUAGGUUCAAAAUGAAGAUAAAUUAUUCAUAACCUUAGGAUUUUCUACGAGUCAGAUGAGUUAUCUCACUAUGAAGGGAAAGAGCACAAAGAGCAAUUUUCUUUCUUUCCUGGGAUCCUAUGUCUCCAGCUGACUGAUGCAUCACAGCUUUUUCCUUUUGAUUAAUGGUUAAUACUAAUCUUUGCUUCAUGCUAAGUGACUGAUGAGUUAUAUAACUAUGUAACUGACUGUUGCACCGCAAGGUGUAUUUAUUAGUUGAUGCUAACUUUUAGCUUCAAAGUUAAAAUUAUUUUAUAGUUACUUCAGGAUGUUGGGAAUAUCAGAAGAACCAAAAGACCGCAAAAAGAAAAAAAAAUGAGGGGUCUUUAUCAUUUGAUUGCAUUUGACAACUGCUAUGGUAGAGUAUUAUCUGCAUGUGGGCAUGUUGACUUUUAGAUGAUGGACUUCACCACUUCAGUAGCAUGACCAAGGUGUAUGGAAUUAUUCCAAUGACAGAUCAUUUGGCUUGUAUAGUGACAAAGAAAGAAGCUUAUGAUUUGAUUUGUCCAGCUGCAAAGCUAACAGAGACUCUGUCUUAAGGACAGACUUCAGUGCCAAUAUGGAGCCCCGCUGUGUGGCAGACUUCUGUGAACUGACAGGGUACCAAAAAGUAUCACUACCUUUUAGGAUCUUGGUAUACAAAUAUCAUCAACGAAGAUCUUUAUAGUUGAUUGUGAGAUGCUAAUUGAUAAGCUUACAACAAGAGUGCAAGACUGGGGAUCCAGACACCUAUUCUACACAGGAAGAGUGCAGCUGGUCAAUUCAGUGCUACUGAUCUUCCGUUUUCAUACUUCCUGGGAGUGUUUUGAAAGGUAUCACUGCAAUAUGUCGAAAUUUCUUAUGGGAUGGUAAGACAGUUACUAACAGAGCCCCCUAUUGGCGUGGGACUUGGUUUAUAGACUUACGAGGGAGGGUGGAGUGGGAAUCAUUGACUGCGUAAUCUGGAAUGAGGCUGUUGUGGCUAAAUAUGUUUGAAUAUAGCACUAUAGACAAACAAUCUAUUAGUCAAAUAGGUUAGUCAUAUCUGCAUAACAGGGAGAGCUUGGUGACAAUACUCUCAUCCAUGGGACUUUUGUUGGUAUUGGAAGAUACCCUGCUCCAUCAAAGACAAGUUUGCUGCAUAUAUGUGAACAAUGGGUGGCUUAUAUAGAAUAAGAGGUACUCAAUCAGUAGUGAGUACAAGUGGAGGAAUGGAUGUCUGGAGGACUGGCUUUCGAGAAGAUGGAUAUUGAGACAAGGUAAAUAUCCCAAAUCAUAGUCUAGUCUCUUGGUUAACAAUGCACAAAAGAAUUCUUACCAAAGAAAUAUUGAUUCGACUAGAGAUCAGUGAAGACAGUAAUUGCCUGAUAUGUGGUGGAAACACAGAAUCUGUAGAACACUUGUUCUUUCAAUAUCAGUUCUCGAGAGCUCGUCUGCAGGAUAGGUAUACAACAAACACAUCUACAAGGGAUAUUGCGCAUGGUGGCAAGAUUGGUAAAAGGAAAAUGGUGCAGCGCUUUUGCUAUGGCUAUCUUGGCUGCACUGAUCUAUAAUAUAAUACAUGGAAGGCUAGGAAUGGUGCCUUAUGGCAUCACGAUGUCCCUCUACCUAAGAAAGUCUAUGAACAGAUCAAAUAGGAGGGCAAGGUGCGAACGUAUACGGUUUUGGACAGAAGGCAGAGUAAUAAAGCGAAUGGAUAGAAAAUUUAUACAUAUAGGAUACUUUAAUGUACAGAUAUAGUAAUUUUGCAACUUCCGAAGUCUUUUUUGUAGCCCUACCUGGUAGGUAUACCUAGAUUUGCAAUUCAUGAGGAGUUUCAAAUUGUAUUAUGUUUGGUGGGUAAUAAUAUUUUUUCUUCACCACAAAAAAAGAAGUUAGCCACAGAAUAACUGUUUACCUAAUCACAUAACAUUCAAGACCAGAACUGUAAAUUUUUCCCUUCACUCAAUUGGGCAGAAUUACUACUGCGUUCAACCUGCUUAUGCCUAGAAGACAAGUUAUAUGCAACUGCUACUUCCUUAGGCAAGCUAACACAUGUAGCAUGAAGAAUGUCCAUUUUUCACAACAAGAAGGUAGAAUGCCUAGAUCUUGUCAACUGCAAAGAUUUCACCCUUGUGUCGUCAAGUAGGGGAUUAACCAAACCAUGCAAAAAGUGUGAUUGUAGUUCCAGGCAAUAGGUCCACCAUUCAUAAUACCAACUACUAUCUUACAGGACUUGGCGGAGAGAGUUACCCGAUUAUGUGUUAGUAGGAGAUAGAAGGUAACCCGUAGUACUAGUCGAGGUGCGAGCAAGCUAGGCCAGACACUAGGUAAUCCCAAAAAAAAAAAAGGAAACUAGGAAGCCACUUAUAACAAUUUUAGCUCAAGGGAGAAUGUGCUUCUAAGUAUCCCGCUAAUGUGGAGGAACAUGAGCAGCCAAAGAUCAACCCUUACUAUUUCUUUGGAACAGACACAAAGAUUGUCAAAUAAAGAAAAUAUGGCGAAGGUUGAACUCGAAAAUAUAUUUCAAGAGACUGUAAUAGAUUGUUGUGUUGAAAGAAUCCCCUAGUAAAAAUCUAUAUGCCUGCUAUAGCAAUAUGGGAUUUCAAUUAACUGCUAUGUAAUACAUCAGCCAGGAGAUGAGGGCUUUACAAAGUCACAUGAUUCAUUAAGAUACUGACAAGUUUGACCUGAGGGGUCAAUUUACUAGAGUGGUUCAGAUUGAUUACUAUGGCAGCAACGGAAAUUAACAGGGUUAUCUACGGUAUAUAGGAAGUACAACACAUUUGAAUUUGGUUAAGCAACAAAAUAUGAACUGUGGUCCAACUCAUUCCUUCCUUUAUGAACCCCAGAAACGCUGCAUGUAUAUGUGAUUCGUGACGCAGCCAAAGAUAACCGUAGAUAUGCAUUGAAGCCAAACCGUAGGCUACUUGUACAGGCUAUCCCUGCCUCUCCACGGACACAACAGUUUUCUUUCCCCUCCCAAAUACACAAAACAAAGUAGAUAUGCAUUGAAGACAUAAUAAAUACAAGCAAGCAACAAUUUAGUUUUCGUUGCUAGUUACACUAUAUAACCAAUUCAAUAUCGCAGUAGAAAUUACAGAAAAUCACGGUUACUAACCAUUCGCAAAAUAGUUUUCGGAACCUUUUAGCAACAAAAACUCACUUUGUAAUAAGUAAAAAACCAGCAAUAAGCCUAACAACACACUAAACGAUCAACUAACAAAACAAUAAGCGACAGUAUAUAUGUCAUAUUCAGGCAAAUAUUUUGAACAUAGUGGAAUUCAUAUCUCGACUAGUGGUAGAUUCAAUGAAAACAUCAAUAUACAUCGACGACACUUAGAAAAUUUCUGAACAAUCAUAGCUAUAACAAGAAAUAAACAGAGGAAUUCAUAUCGACUUGUGGUAGAUUCAAUGAAAACAUCAAUCACUAGUAUAAUAGAAAAUAUACAGAGGAAUUCAUCUCGACUAGUGGUAGAUUCAAUGAAAACAUCAAUAUGCAUUGACUACACUUAAAAUUUCUGAACAAUGACAAGAAUAACAGAAAAGUACAGAGGAAGUCAUAUCUCAACUAGUGGCAGAGUCAAUGAAAAUAUCAAUAUGCAUCGACGACAAUAAUAAAAUUUCUGAAUAAUCACAAGAAUAAUAGAAAGCAGAGGAACAAAAUCAUAAAACACUCGAGGAAUAGAGGAGGAAUAAACCCAGUCAUCACACGUCAAUUUAACAGCAGCCGGAUAUCACAAACGACUCUCAUAUGCAGAAAAAUUAAACUUUCACGAAUCUCAAAAUGCAACAAUUAAAGUCACAAAUUUGUACCUGGUAAGUAGAUUUUUUCGUCGAUAAAGACAAGAAAUUGAACGACAAGAAUGAGUUAUGCAACAAUCUUGAAACCUGCACGAAAAGAAAAUUGGGAAAAAGAUGAAAGAAAGAAUCCUAACAACGACGAUAGAGCAUAAUGGAGAAGCACAAUCCAAACCCAACUAUUAACCGCAUCUUCUAGGUAAAAUGUAUCUGGGGAAAAGGCUGGCUGGAGACCUAUCUGUGUGAUUUUGUUAAUCGCUCAUCUCUUCUGUAUCCCAUUCGAUGAAGGGAAUAGGUUUCCUAUUAUUUUCUGAUCGGAGGAAAUCGUUCAUUCUUGCCAAAAAAAUUGGAGGGACAAAUUUUAUUUUGGGUAGG
rnacentral:lncRNA from 1 species